rnacentral:SRP_RNA from 2 species
GGUCGGAACCUGUGCGCUGUGGACGGGUGAACCGGGUCAGGUGGGGAACCAAGCAGCCCUAAAUCCAGAAGCAGGUGCACAGGUUCCGCCUCGG